rnacentral:rRNA from 1 species
GAUGAACGCUGGCGGCGUGCCUAAUACAUGCAAGUCGAGCGAACAGGCGAGGAGCUUGCUCCUCUGACGUUAGCGGCGGACGGGUGAGUAACGCGUGGAUAACCUACCUAUAAGACUGGGAUAACUUCGGGAAACCGGAGCUAAUACCGGAUAAUAUAUUGAACCGCAUGGUUCAAUAGUGAAAGACGGUUUUGCUGUCACUUAUAGCUGGAUCCGCGCCGCAUUAGCUAGUUGGUAAGGUAACGGCUUACCAAGGCGACGAUGCGUAGCCGACCUGAGGGGGUGAUCGGCCACACUGGAACUGAGAAACGGUCCAGACUCCUACGGGAGGCAGCAGUAGGGAAUCUUCCGCAAUGGGCGAAAGCCUGACGGAGCAACGCCGGGUGAGUGAUGAAGGUCUUCGGAUCGUAAAACUCUGUUAUUAGGGAAGAACAAAUGUGUAAGUAACUAUGCACGUCUUGACGGUACCUAAUCAGAAAGCCACGGCUAACUACGU